rnacentral:rRNA from 1 species
UACGUAGGGGGCAAGCGUUGUCCGGAUUUAUUGGGCGUAAAGCGCUCGCAGGUGGUUCGUUGCGUCGUGCGUGAAAGACCCCGGCUCAACUGGGGAGGGUCGUGCGAUACGGGCGAACUGGAGGCCAGUAGGGGGAUGCGGAAUUCCGGGUGUAGUGGUGGAAUGCGUAGAGAUCCGGAGGAACACCAGCGGCGAAGGCGGCAUCCUGGACUGGUCCUGACACUCAGGAGCGAAAGCGUGGGGAGCGAGCCGG